rnacentral:rRNA from 1 species
GUGCUUAACACAUGCAAGUCGAACGGGUGUAGCAAUACACUCGUGGCGAACGGGUGCGUAACACGUGGAUAACCUUCCUUCAGGUGGGGAAUAACCCAGUGAAAAUUGGGCUAAUACCGCAUAACAAUGCGAUGGCACAUGCUGUUGCAUUCAAAGGCGCAAGUCGCCAGAAGAGGGAUCCGCGGCCGAUUAGCUUGUUGGCGAGGUAAUGGCUCACCAAGGCAAUGAUCGGUAGCCGGACUGAGAGGUUGGCCGGCCACACUGGAACUGAGACACGGUCCAG